rnacentral:misc_RNA from 1 species
CACGUAGGCACCAAGCGUUGUCCGGAUUUAUUGGGCGUAAAGAGCUCGUAGGCGGUUUGGUAAGUCGGGUGUGAAAACUCUGGGCUCAACCCAGAGAGGCCACUCGAUACUGCUAUGACUUGAGUACGGUAGGGGAGUGGGGAAUUUCUAGUGUAGCGGUGAAAUGCGCAGAUAUUAGAAGGAACACCAGUGGCGAAGGCGCCACUCUGGGCCGUAGCUGACGCUGAGGAGCGAAAGCGUGGGUAGCAAACAGG